rnacentral:rRNA from 1 species
AUGGCUACGCAGAUCGAAGCCGCCGUCAAGCGCCGGAGAGUCACCAUUGCCAGCCAUCGUUUUCUUCUGCGGCAAUGGCUAAUCCAGCCCAACUUCAGGCACGGGCCGGUCUCCGUUGACAAGCACCGUCUUCUUCUGCCACAAGAACCGCCACCCAUUCCGAAUCCCAGCAGUAUUUUCAGGUCCACUACACCAAAGAAAAGCUGGAAGAGUACAUCAAACCAGAUGGUAACACACUCAAGGUCAGGCUCGCAAACAUCAAUCUGUGCACCAAUUGUCGUAUCAUGCUGGGAACAGACAAGAGAGCCACAAUAA